ACGUAGGUGGCAAGCGUUGUCCGGAAUUCCUGGGUGUAAAGGGAGCGCAGGCGGGAGAGCAAGUCAGCUGUGAAAACUAUGGGCUUAACCCAUAAACUGCAGUUGAAACUGUUUUUCUUGAGUGGAGUAGAGGUAGGCGGAAUUCCGAGUGUAGCGGUGAAAUGCGUAGAUAUGCGGAGGAACACCAGUGGCGAAGGCGGCCUACUGGGCUCUAACUGACGCGGAGGCGCGAAAGUGUGGGGAGCAAACAG
rnacentral:rRNA from 1 species